GAAAUACUCCCUCCGUUCGGAAUUACUCGUCCAAGAAAUGAAUGUAUCUAGAUGUAUUUUAGUUGUAGAUACAUCCAUUUUUGUGACGAGUAAUUCCGAACGGAGGGAGUAUAUA
rnacentral:pre_miRNA from 1 species